GCGCCCGUAGCUCAGGGGAUAGAGCAACGGACUUCUAAUCCGUUGGCCGUAGGUUCGAUUCCUACCGGGCGUGCCA
rnacentral:tRNA from 1 species